UAUUUUCCUCUUCUAUGUAGAUUAGGUUUCAGUCGGUUCAGUGUCCUCUGAGAAAUCGAAAGUAACCCUUUCGGUUUUCAGGGAGCAGUGAAUCUUCUUCUACCUCUACAUCUCCCCAUCUUAACUCUGUGGAUCAUUAAUGCUUCGGAAUCCUAACAAUUCAGUUAUUCCUUCCUAUAUAACCUCAUCGUAAAAACUGAAACUUUUCAUCUCAAAUCUAGUAAUCGCCAUCACAGAUUUAGAGCAAUCAUCCAACCCUUUCUGUCAAGUGACAGUCUCGCCAGAAGACGCCAAUUAAUUAAUUAAUUAAUUAAUUAAUUUGUUUGGUCUUCUUCAUCCUGAAAAGACAAAGUCUUUCGUGGAUUAGACCGGGACGGCUAUUGUCGCGUCGAUUGGCGGAAGAGCUAUCUGACUCUGAUCCAAAAAAAAAUUUCGGAGGCGGAUCAUCACUGCAUGUUACCCUUCCUCUUGAUUCAUAAGCAAGCCCACAUGCAAAUCCAUUAUCCAGAGAACUUGGGAGAGGAUAGUGUCAACUUUUAUGCUCUGUGAGUCAUUGACUGUGGCGUUGGUAAUAUUUCUCAGGUCAGAUAAAAAGAGCAAAUGGAUGACGUGUUAGAGCUACACCAGCGUCGAAGAUCUAAAAAAAGUUUCCAUGGCCACCGCUUCUGUCAUAUAUGACUCAGUGAACCUCUCCAUUUAUCCGUUACACUUGGUAACCCUUCCACCCUAUUGAUUCGCCUCCUUGAAGAUCGUUUCAUCAUCGUUGCUCACUGAAAGCAGCAGCAACAACUACCUUGAUUAAAUAAAGUGACAUAGCGGUUUGUGGAGGAGGCACUACAAGAGCACGAAGGAGAGAAGAUGAUAUUCCUAGACGAAAGAAAAUGAUUUUGAAAAAAAAAGAAGAGAAAGUCUGUUUUUCAGUUGUCUACGAGAUGAUUUUGCUUUUAGCUGUGAGCAAAUAAUGAAAGUAUGGUUUUGUUCUCAGAAGUCAAAAGGCUGGACUUAUCCACUCUUCUUACAAUUUAAAUUGCAUCUGAACAAGAUUUGUUGUUUUA